AGUGAACGCUGGCGGUAGGCCUAACACAUGCAAGUCGAACGGCAGCACAGUAAGAGCUUGCUCUUACGGGUGGCGAGUGGCGGACGGGUGAGGAAUACAUCGGAAUCUACUUUUUCGUGGGGGAUAACGUAGGGAAGCUUACGCUAAUACCGCAUACGACCUACGGGUGAAAGCAGGGGAUCUUCGGACCUUGCGCGAUUGAAUGAGCCGAUGUCGGAUUAGCUAGUUGGCGGGGUAAAGGCCCACCAAGGCGACGAUCCGUAGCUGGUCUGAGAGGAUGAUCAGCCACACUGGAACUGAGACACGGUCCAGACUCCUACGGGAGGCAGCAGUGGGGAAUAUUGGACAAUGGGCGCAAACCUGAUCCAGCCAUACCGCGUGGGUGAAGAAGGCCUUCGGGUUGUAAAGCCCUUUUGUUGGGAAAGAAAAGCAGCAGGUUAAUACCCCGCUGUUCUGACGGUACCCAAAGAAUAAGCACCGGCUAACUUCGUG
rnacentral:rRNA from 1 species